rnacentral:rRNA from 1 species
GAUGAACGCUAGCGAUAGGCUUAACACAUGCAAGUCGAGGGGCAGCAUGGUCUUAGCUUGCUAAGACUGAUGGCGACCGGCGCGCGGGUGCGUAACGCGUAUGCAACUUGCCUCACAGAGGGGGAUAACCCGUCGAAAGACGGACUAAUACCGCGUACACUCUAUGUUGGGCAUCCAAUGUAGAGGAAAUGAAAUUCGCUGUGAGAUAGGCAUGCGUCCCAUUAGCUAGUUGGUGAGGUAACGGCUCACCAAGGCGACGAUGGGUAGGGGUUCUGAGAGGUCUCUU